rnacentral:rRNA from 1 species
CGGACAUGUAAAUCCUUUGUGAAAUCUCUCUGCUUAACAGAGAGGCGUGCAGGGGACACUGCGUGUCUAGAGACCGGGAGGGGUCAAAGGUAUUCUGGGGGGAGCGGUAAAAUGUUAUAAUCCUCGGAAGACCACCAAUGGCGAAGGCAUUUGACCAGAACGGAUCUGACGGUGAGGGAUGAAGGCCAGGGGAGCAAAACGGAUUAGAUACCCGAGUAGUCCUGGCUGUAAACACUGCGUGCAAGGUGUUGCACAUUCUUGUGAAUGUGCAGUAUCGAAGAGAAGUCGUUAAGCACGCCGCCUGGGAA